rnacentral:rRNA from 1 species
CCUACGGGAGGCUGCAGUGAGGAAUAUUGGUCAAUGGGCGGAAGCCUGAACCAGCCAAGUCGCGUGAGGGAGUAAGGCCCUACGGGUCGUAAACCUCUUUUGCCGGGGAGCAGUGCCCAGCUCGUGAGCUGGGAGGGAGCGUACCCGGAGAAAAAGCAUCGGCUAACUCCGUGCCAGCAGCCGCGGUAAUACGGAGGAUGCGAGCGUUAUCCGGAUUUAUUGGUUUUAAAGGGUCCGUAGGCGGUCCUUCAGGCCGGCGGUAACAUUGCGGGGCUCAACCCAGCCGAGCCGCCGGACCCAGGGGCCUUGAGUACCGAAGAAGUACGCGGAAUGCGUGGUGGAGCGGUGAAAUGCAUAGAUAUCACGCAGAACCCCGAUUGCGAAGGCAGCGUACCGGCCGGUCACUGACGCUGAGGCACGAAAGCGCGGGUAUCGAACAGGAUUAGAUACCCCAGUAGUC